CCUACGGGUGGCAGCAGUGAGGAAUAUUGGUCAAUGGACGGGAGCCUGAACCAGCCAAGUCGCGUGCGGGAAGACGGUCCUAUGGAUUGUAAACCUCUUUAGGCCGGGAGCAAUGCCGGGCACGCGUGCCCGGAGGGAGAGUACCCGCAGAAUAAGCAUCGGCUAACUCCGGGCCAGCAGCCGCGGUAAUACGGAGGAUGCGGUCGUUAUCCGGAUUUUUUGGGUUUAAGGGGUGCGUAGGCGGAGUUUUAAGUCCGCGGUAAAAUGUCCGGGCUCAACCCGGGCCGGCCGUUGAAACUGGGGGGCUAGAGUGGGCGAGAAGUAUGCGGAAUGCGUGGUGUAGCGGUGAAAUGCAUAGAUAUCACGCAGAACACCGAUUGCGAAGGCAGCAUACCGGCGCCCGACUGACGCUGAGGCACGAAAGCGUGGGGAUCGAACAGGAUUAGAUACCCCAGUAGUC
rnacentral:rRNA from 1 species